GACGGAGGAUGCAAGCGUUAUCCGGAAUGAUUGGGCGUAAAGCGUCUGCAGGUGGCAGUUCAAGUCUGCUGUCAAAGACCGGGGCUUAACUUCGGAAAGGCAGUGGAAACUGAACAGCUAGAGUAUGGUAGGGGCAGAGGGAAUUCCUGGUGUAGCGGUGAAAUGCGUAGAUAUCGGGAAGAACACCAGUGGCGAAAGCGCUCUACUGGGCCAUAACUGACACUGAGGGACGAAAGCUAGGGGAGCGAAAGGG
rnacentral:rRNA from 1 species